GAUGAACGCUGGCGGCGUGCCUAAUACAUGCAAGUCGAGCGAACGGACGAGAAGCUUGCUUCUCUGAUGUUAGCGGCGGACGGGUGAGUAACACGUGGAUAACCUACCUAUAAGACUGGGAUAACUUCGGGAAACCGGAGCUAAUACCGGAUGAUAUUUUGAACCGCAUGGUUCAAAAGUGAAAGACGGUCUUGCUGUCACUUAUAGAUGGAUCCGCGCUGCAUUAGCUAGUUGGUAAGGUAACGGCUUACCAAGGCAACGAUGCAUAGCCGACCUGAGAGGGUGAUCGGCCACACUGGAACUGAGACACGGUCCAGACUCCUACGGGAGGCAGCAGUAGGGAAUCUGCCGCAAUGGGCGAAAGCCUGACGGAGCAACGCCGCGUGAGUGAUGAAGGUCUUCGGAUCGUAAAACUCUGUUAUAGGGAAGAACAUAUGUGUAAGUAACUGUGCACAUCUUGACGGUACCUAAUCAGAAAGCCACGGCUAACUACGUG
rnacentral:rRNA from 1 species